rnacentral:rRNA from 1 species
ACUCAAAUGAAUUGACGGGGACCCGCACAAGCGGUGGAGCAUGUGGUUUAAUUCGACGAUAAGCGAGGAACCUCACCAAGGUUUGAAAUCUAGCUGCAGAGCCCCGGAAACGGGGCAGCCUUCGAGGGUGCUAGACAGGUGCUGCAUGGUUGUCGUCAGCUCGUGUCGUGAGAUGUACCGUUAAGUCGGGUAACGAGCGCAACCCCCAUCCUGUGUUUCAAGUGUCACAGGAAACUAUCCGCUAUAAGUGGGAGGAAGGCGGGGAUGACGUCAAAUCAGCAUGGUCCUUACACCUUGGGCGACACACGUGCUACAAUGGCCGGUACAACGGGACGCCAAAUCGCAAGAUGGAGCAAAUCCCUUAAAACCGGUCCUAGUUCGGAUUGUGGGCUGCAACUCGCCCACAUGAAGCUGGAAUCGCUAGUAAACGCGUAUCAGCCACGACGCGUUGAAUACGUUCUCGGGUCUUGUACACACCGCCCGU